rnacentral:rRNA from 1 species
AUUGAACGCUGGCGGCAUGCUUUACACAUGCAAGUCGGACGAGUGGCGAACGGGUGAGUAACGCAUCGGAACGUACCGAGUAAUGGGGGAUAACUGUCCGAAAGGACAGCUAAUACCGCAUAUUAUUCGAGCGGCCGAUGUCGGAUUAGCUGGUUGGCGGGGUAAAGGCCCACCAAGGCGACGAUCAGUAGCGGGUCUGAGAGGAGGAUCAGCCACACUGGGACUGAGAAACGGCCCAGACUCCUACGGGAGGUAGCAGUGGGGAAUUUUGGACAAUGGGCGCAAGCCGGAUCCAGCCAUGCCGCGUGUCUGAAGAAGGCCUUCGGGUUGUAAAGUACUUUUGGCAGGGAAGCGGUACCUGAAGAAUAAGCACCGGCGAACUACGUGCCAGCAGCCGCGGUAAUUC